rnacentral:rRNA from 1 species
AAUAGAUACCCUGGUAGUCCACGCCGUAAACGGUGGGCGCUAGGUGUGGGGGACUUUCCACGUCCUCUGUGCCGUAGCUAACGCAUUAAGCGCCCCGCCUGGGGAGUACGGCCGCAAGGCUAAAACUCAAAGGAAUUGACGGGGGCCCGCACAAGCGGCGGAGCAUGUGGCUUAAUUCGACGCAACGCGAAGAACCUUACCAAGGCUUGACAUGCAGGGAAAUCUCGUAGAGAUACGGGGUCCGCAAGGGCUCUGCACAGGUGGUGCAUGGUUGUCGUCAGCUCGUGUCGUGAGAUGUUGGGUUAAGUCCCGCAACGAGCGCAACCCUUGUCCUAUGUUGCCAGCGAGUAAUGUCGGGGACUCAUAGGAGACUGCCGGGGUCAACUCGGAGGAAGGUGGGGAUGACGUCAAAUCAUCAUGCCCCUUAUGUCUUGGGCUGCACACAUGCUACAAUGGUCGGUACAAAGGGCUGCGAGACCGCAAGGUGGAGCGAAUCCCGAAAAAGCCGGCUCAGUUCGGAUUGGGGU